AGGAAAGCAGGGGAUCGUAAGACCUCGCGUUAAUGGAGUGGCCGAUAUCUGAUUAGCUAGUUGGUGAGGUAAAGGCUCACCAAGGCGACGAUCAGUAGCUGGUCUGAGAGGACGACCAGCCACACUGGAACUGAGACACGGUCCAGACUCCUACGGGAGGCAGCAGUGGGGAAUUUUGGACAAUGGGCGCAAGCCUGAUCCAGCCAUUCCGCGUGAGUGAAGAAGGCCUUCGGGUUGUAAAGCUCUUUCGCAAGGGAAGAAAACUUACUCAAUAACACUGGGUGAGGCUGACGGUACCUUGAUAAGAAGCACCGGCUAACUACGUGCCAGCAGCCGCGGUAAUACGUAGGGUGCGAGCGUUAAUCGGAAUUACUGGGCGUAAAGCGUGCGCAGGCGGUUUUGUAAGUCAGAUGUGAAAGCCCCGGGCUCAACCUGGGAACUGCGUUUGAAACUACAAGGCU
rnacentral:rRNA from 1 species